UACAGAGGGUGCGAGCGUUGUUCGGAAUUAUUGGGCGUAAAGGGCGCGUAGGCGGUGCGGUAAGUCACCUGUGAAAUCUCCUGGCUCAACUGGGAGCUUGCAGGCGAAACUGCCGUGCUGGAGUGUGGGAGAGGUGCGUGGAAUUCCCGGUGUAGCGGUGAAAUGCGCAGAUAUCGGGGAGGAACACCAGUAGCGAAGGCGGCACUCUGGGCCGGUACUGACGCUGAGGAGCGAAAGCGUGGGGGAGCAAACAGG
rnacentral:rRNA from 1 species